UACGUAGGGGGCAAGCGUUGUCCGGAUUCAUUGGGCGUAAAGAGCGUGUAGGCGGCCAUACAGGUCAGCUGUGAAAACUCGAGGCUCAACCUCGAGACGUCGGUUGAAACCGUAUGGCUAGAGUCCGGAAGAGGAGAGUGGAAUUCCCGGUGUAGCGGUGAAAUGCGCAGAUAUCGGGAAGAACACCCGUGGCGAAGGCGGCUCUCUGGGACGGUACUGACGCUGAGACGCGAAAGCGUGGGGAGCAAGACGG
rnacentral:rRNA from 1 species